UGGACGAAGAGUUCAUGCAAUCCUACAGAAAAAGGCUGGUGACCUUCUAAAAAGACACAAAUAACGUGCAGAAAUCCAGCAGAAGUCAUCCACUAAAUUCUAGCAAGAAUCUUUGGUAAGCAAGGGGCAACAGGAAGAAGAGGGGGAGUGAAGCACUGAAGAAGAGCUGUGCAAAACUGAGGGUCAAAUUUAUGUGCCAUAUUUAGGAGUACUGGAAUUGCUUUCCUGCAGAGGCACCGGAUCUUUUGAAUGUUUGGCCUUUGUGGAGCCAAAGAUCAGCAUGGAUGUGAAUAAGGAGCUGGAGAAAUAUGGUUUCAUGCACAUUUGGAGCAAAGUGGAAGGGCUGCCACAAGCUGGUCCACUGGAACUGGGAGCCUUCUGUGUGAUCAUCCUCUUUGUCGCCACAUUUCUUGCCUUGUUCACAAUUUCUUGUUUCCAAUGCUGUUGCUGUGUGGGGACAAAAUAUCAGCCCUCGAGAGUGGAACCACUGCAGCCCAUUUGAAGAUUAAAAAAGAACCAAAGAACUAUAAAGGAGUGCAGCAUUAAGGUCCAUAGUGACAGGGGGGGAGUAAAAUACUGAAGGCCUUUAUUUUCAGAGUUUCGGUGGGAUUACCAUCAGAUGCAUCAAGGAAAAAAAGACUAACACAAAUCCAGCAUUGGGAUACAGACUGUUCACAGCCACUUGGGGACUGAAUACAGUACAUAUGAAUCGGACCAAAACAAUUAAGCAUGUGUGAUACUUCAUUGGUGAAAAGAGGAAGCCAAGUACUCAAGGCUUUCGAAAAUUAUUUCUAUUUAUCUUCAAGAAAGGAGACCAUAACAUUGAAUUGUUGCAUUGAAUAUGCCUCUAUCUAAAUGCCCCAAAAGCAAUUCAUAACACUAAAUAUUGUUUCUGUUAGACAAAAAAAAAAACAAUCUUCAUUAAAUAAUUCCUGCCCUGCGAUUGGCUGGAAACCAGUUAAGAAUGUUCCUCGCCUCCUGCCCGUUGACAGCUGGGAUGGGCUCCAGCCCUCAAGCGACCCUUGUGAGGAUAAGCGGCAAAGAAAAUGGAUGGAUGGAUGGAUGGAUGGAUGGAUGGAUGGAUGGAUGGAUGGAUGGAUGGAUGGAUGGAUGGAUGGAUGGAUGGGUUGAAUAAUUCUUUCGAGAUACUGUUAAAGUUUCUUUCCAAGUAAGAUGUUUGAGGGAAUUAUUUUAAGUUUUGAGUGUGUGCAGUAAGUGACUGAAAUGGGGAGAUGUGUACGUUGUAGUAUCCAUACAAAUAUUUUAGUUCUCCAAUCAGAAACCUUUUUAAUUAUUUAAUUAUUGUAUAGAUACUCUGUAACAGUACUAAUACCUUAAGUGGUGAUGGAGCUUUCAUUUAAUAGUCCCUGCUGUAUUAUAUCACAUGCAUUGUAACAGGUAACAUUUUAUGUGUGACGAUCAGGAGUACAUGUGGCAAAUGUCACAAAUUGUUUUUGAGUAUUUUAUAGUCGCAUCAGUAUCGA